CUCCAUCCCCUCCUUCUUUCUUCAUCACCGCCACCCUCCAUCCCCUCCUUUCUCCAUCACCGCCACCCAUCCAAUGUCAGUCCUCCCCCUCCCAAUCCCUAAAACCCCCAUUCUCUAAUUUUGCCAAUUUCUUCUGAUUCUUCUUCUUAUCCCUAAAACAAAGUAAAAAGGUGCCCAUCGGCCCCAUCCGCUCUUAUCCCUGACCCUGAGCGUACGGCCUCCAUCUCCAUCUCCUCCUCCUUUCUCCAUACAACAACCGUGUUCAUCCCAAAUCUCCUUAAAAAUUGCUGAUUCUUCUCCUUCCCAAAUUUCUGAUUCUUAAAUUUAAAUAUUAAUUUAAUAUUUUUUAUGAUUCUUCUGCUUCCCAAAUCACCUUAAAAAAAUUCUCUCUAGGCCUUUGACCUGAGGUGACUUGUUUCAGAGAGAGCCCAACGUGUUUAGGCUGCAUCUGAUAAACUCAAAGUCGUAAGAUUACUUCCUUGGACUUCAAGUGAAACAAGAAAAGGAUGACAUCUUCAUUUCUCAAACAAAGUAUGCCAAGAACUUGGUGAAGAAGUUUGGCCUCGAAGGUUCAAAAGUUGCUAAAUCUCCCAUGAGCACAUGUAACAAAAUUCACAAAGACUCUAGUGGCAAGGAUGUUGAUCAGACUCUAUAGAUAAGUAUGAUUGGCAGCUUACUCUACCUAACUUCUAGUCGACCAGACAUCACAUUUUCUGUUGGGGUAUGUGCACGGUUUCAAAGCUGCCCCAAAUAGUCUCACUUACAAGCAGUUAAGAAGGUUAUCAAGUAUGUUAAUAUUUAGUAUAUGAUUAUGGAUUUUAGGGGAAAUUUACACUUUUUUCGAUUUCCGUACGGGUUAGUAAACAUGUAUCAAUUUAAUGGGAGCUUAACCUAUGGAUACAAAAACAAAAAA